rnacentral:rRNA from 1 species
CUCUGUUGUUAGGGAAGAACAAGUGCUAGUUGAAUAAGCUGGCACCUUGACGGUACCUAACCAGAAAGCCACGGCUAACUACGUGCCAGCAGCCGCGGUAAUACGUAGGUGGCAAGCGUUAUCCGGAAUUAUUGGGCGUAAAGCGCGCGCAGGUGGUUUCUUAAGUCUGAUGUGAAAGCCCACGGCUCAACCGUGGAGGGUCAUUGGAAACUGGGAGACUUGAGUGCAGAAGAGGAAAGUGGAAUUCCAUGUGUAGCGGUGAAAUGCGUAGAGAUAUGGAGGAACACCAGUGGCGAAGGCGACUUUCUGGUCUGUAACUGACACUGAGGCGCGAAAGCGUGGGGAGCAAACAGGAUUAGAUACCCUGGUAGUCCACGCCGUAAACGAUGAGUGCUAAGUGUUAGAGGGUUUCCGCCCUUUAGUGCUGA